GAUGAACGCUGGCGGCGUGCCUAAUACAUGCAAGUCGAGCGAGCAGACGAGGAGCUUGCUCCUCUGAUGUUAGCGGCGGACGGGUGAGUAACACGUGGAUAACCUACCUAUAAGACUGGGAUAACUUCGGGAAACCGGAGCUAAUACCGGAUAACAUGUUGAACCGCAUGGUUCAACAGUGAAAGACGGUCUUGCUGUCACUUAUAGAUGGAUCCGCGCCGCAUUAGCUAGUUGGUAAGGUAACGGCUUACCAAGGCAACGAUGCGUAGCCGACCUGAGAGGGUGAUCGGCCACACUGGAACUGAGACACGGUCCAGACUCCUACGGGAGGCAGCAGUAGGGAAUCUUCCGCAAUGGGCGAAAGCCUGACGGAGCAACGCCGCGUGAGUGAAGAAGGUCUUCGGAUCGUAAAACUCUGUUAUUAGGGAAGAACAAAUGUGUAAGUAACUAUGCACGUCUUGACGGUACCUAAUCAGAAAGCCACGGCUAACUACGU
rnacentral:rRNA from 1 species